CAGAAGUGCGAAUGCUGACAUAAGUAACGAUAAUGCGGGUGAAAAGCCCGCACGCCGGAAGACCAAGGGUUCCUGUCCAACGUUAAUCGGGGCAGGGUGAGUCGACCCCUAAGGCGAGGCCGAAAGGCGUAGUCGAUGGGAAUGAGGUGAAUAUUCCUCAGCCAGUUGGUAGUGACGGAUCGCGUACGCUGU
rnacentral:rRNA from 1 species